AUUGAACGCUGGCGGCAGGCCUAACACAUGCAAGUCGAGCGAGCGGCGGACGGGUGUGUAAUGUCUGGGAAACUGCCUGAUGGAGGGGGAUAACUACUGGAAACGGUAGCUAAUAUCGCAUACCAUCAGAUGUGCCCAUAUGGGAUUAGCUAGGAGGUGGGGUAACGGCUCACCUAGGCGACGCGCCCUAGCUGGUCUGAGAGGAUGACCAGCCACACUGGAACUGAGACACGGUCCAGACUCCUACGGGAGGCAGCAGUGGGGAAUAUUGCACAAUGGGCGCAAGCCUGAUGCAGCCAUGUCGCGUGUGUGAAGAAGGCCUUCGGGUUGUAAAGCACUUUAAGUUGGGAGGCGUUACCAACAGAAUAAGCACCGGCUAACUUCGUGCCAGCCGCCGCGGUAAUUC
rnacentral:rRNA from 1 species